UUAGUUGAAGCCAAAAAAGAAGGCAUUUUAAUGUUAAUAAAAGAAUUGAACUAUGUUCCAACUAAA
rnacentral:tRNA from 1 species